UACGAAGGGGGCUAGCGUUGUUCGGAAUCACUGGGCGUAAAGGGCGCGUAGGCGGCUUUGUAAGUCGGGGGUGAAAGCCUGUGGCUCAACCACAGAAUUGCCUUCGAUACUGCAUGGCUUGAGACCGGAAGAGGUAAGUGGAACUGCGAGUGUAGAGGUGAAAUUCGUAGAUAUUCGCAAGAACACCAGUGGCGAAGGCGGCUUACUGGUCCGGUUCUGACGCUGAGGCGCGAAAGCUAGGGGAGCGAACAGG
rnacentral:rRNA from 1 species